GUGAGUAACACGUGGAUAACCUACCUAUAAGACUGGGAUAACUUCGGGAAACCGGAGCUAAUACCGGAUAAUAUUUUGAACCGCAUGGUUCAAAAGUGAAAGACUGUCUUGCUGUCACUUAUAGAUGGAUCCGCGCUGCAUUAGCUAGUUGGUAAGGUAACGGCUUACCAAGGCAACGAUGCAUAGCCGACCUGAGAGGGUGAUCGGCCACACUGGAACUGAGACACGGUCCAG
rnacentral:rRNA from 1 species